rnacentral:rRNA from 1 species
GACGAACGCUGGCGGCGUGCUUAACACAUGCAAGUCGAACGGAAAGGCCCUGCUUUUGUGGGGGGCUCGAGUGGCGAACGGGUGAGUAACACGUGAGUAACCUGCCCUUGACUUUGGGAUAACUUCAGGAAACUGGGGCUAAUACCGGAUAGGAGCUCCUGCUGCAUGGUGGGGGUUGGAAAGUUUCGGCGGUUGGGGAUGGACUCGCGGCGUAUCAGCUUGUUGGUGGGGUAGUGGCUUACCAAGGCUUUGACGGGUAGCCGGCCUGAGAGGGUGACCGGCCACAUUGGGACUGAGAUACGGCCCAGACUCCUACGGGAGGCAGCAGUGGGGAAUAUUGCACAAUGGGCGGAAGCCUGAUGCAGCAACGCCGCGUGCGGGAUGACGGCCUUCGGGUUGUAAACCGCUUUCGCCUGUGACGAAGCGUGAGUGACGGUAAUGGGUAAAGAAGCACCGGCUAACUACGUG